rnacentral:rRNA from 1 species
AGUGAACGCUGGCGGCGUGCUUAACACAUGCAAGUCGAACGAGAACGGGUUAUAGCUUGCUAUAAUUGUCAGCUAAGUGGCGCACGGGUGAGUAAUGUAUAGGUAAUAUGCCUCUUACCAAGGGAUAACAAAUGGAAACGUUUGCUAAUACCUUAUACUCCUUAUUAACAGAAGUUAAUAAGGGAAGAUUUAUUGGUAAGAGAUUAGCCUGUAUUGUAUCAGUUAGUUGGUGGGGUACUGGCUUACCAAGACUAUGACACAUAACUGGUUUGAGAGGAUGAUCAGUCACACUGGAACUGAGACACGGUCCAGACUCCUACGGGAGGCAGCAGUGGGGAAUAUUGCACAAUGGACGAAAGUCUGAUGCAGCAACGCCGCGUGGAGGAUGACACAUUUCGGUGUGUAAACUCCUUUUAUAUGAGAAGAUAAUGACGGUAUUAUAUGAAUAAGCACCGGCUAACUACGUGCCAGCAGCCGCGGUAA